GCCUGGCCCGCCAGCAGGGGGCGCAGGCCGAGGGAGCCGCCGCCCUGGCGCGGUGCCGGGCGGAGCUGGCCCGACUGCGGGGGCUGCUGGAGGAGCGGGACCAGGCGCUGGCGGAGGCUGCCCGGGAGGCCGAGGAGAAGGACCGGGGGCUGCAGAGGUGCUGGCUGCAGCGCGGGGCCGGGGGCAUGAAGCAGACGCUGUGAGCAGAGGAGGAUCUGGGGUCUGGCGUGUGGGGCCGGCUCCGCCCCCCCCCAAGCUGGGACCGACGUGGGCGCUGCGGGGGGAUCCCGGCUCCUCCAG